rnacentral:rRNA from 1 species
GACGAACGCUGGCGGCGUGCCUAAUACAUGCAAGUAGAACGCACAGUUUAUACCGUAGCUUGCUACACCAUAGACUGUGAGUUGCGAACGGGUGAGUAACGCGUAGGUAACCUGCCUGGUAGCGGGGGAUAACUAUUGGAAACGAUAGCUAAUACCGCAUAAUAUUAAUUAUUGCAUGAUAAUUAAUUGAAAGGUGCAAUUGCACCACUACCAGAUGGACCUGCGUUGUAUUAGCUAGUAGGUGAGGUAACGGCUCACCUAGGCGACGAUACAUAGCCGACCUGAGAGGGUGAUCGGCCACACUGGGACUGAGACACGGCCCAGACUCCUACGGGAGGCAGCAGUAGGGAAUCUUCGGAAAUGGACGAAAGUCUGACCGAGCAACGCCGCGGGAGUGAGGAAGGUUAUCGGAUCGUAAAGCUCAGUUGUAAGAGAAGAACGGGGGUGAGAGUGGAAAGUUCACACUGUGACGGUAUCUUACCAGAAAGGGACGGCUAACUACGUG